ACGAUAGGGAAUGUCAAGAGCCGUGGAAAACAACAACAAAGGCAGCCGUGUAACGGAACAGAAGGGAAGGAAAUCCCAGAUGUGAAGUUUGAAUGACCCUGGCAGAUUCGCUUACUGGGAAGCACAGAGGUUGGCCACCAGAGACCGUCCUUACUAACUCAUGAACCAAGGGUUAAAUACAACCAUGGCCCCAGGCCUCUACCUGGGAAAUGUUCGUUAGUGCCUAAAACCAUUAGGUGGAAGGUUUGGAAAGGCUUGACACUGGAGGUGUCAGGAUGCUGACCCCGUCACACUUAUUCACAUGUCAACAUCACAUGGUCCUGUCGAGAUGCACGACCAAGCACACGGCCGACCAUCACUACUGCAUACAAAAUUUAAAGAUAAAAGUCAUCAGAAUCUCCGCCUCUACGCCUAACUAUACAUUUCCAAGAAACAGGGCGAAUAAAGCGAAUAAGCGGCAUAAAUUAUGGACCGAAUCCGUAACACCACCAUGGGCCGCAUCUGAGGCAUACCCAUAACUAGGUAUUUCCUCGGUGAGUCAACAGCCUAAAAAGAAACGAAUAAAGACCACUGGAAAACAGA